UUAAGCGACUAAGCGUACACGGUGGAUGCCCUGGCAGUCAGAGGCGAUGAAGGACGUGCUAAUCUGCGAUAAGCGUCGGUAAGGUGAUAUGAACCGUUAUAACCGGCGAUUUCCGAAUGGGGAAACCCAGUGUGAUUCGUCACACUAUCAUUAACUGAAUCCAUAGGUUAAUGAGGCGAACCGGGGGAACUGAAACAUCUAAGUACCCCGAGGAAAAGAAAUCAACCGAGAUUCCCCCAGUAGCGGCGAGCGAACGGGGAGCAGCCCAGAGCCUGAAUCAGUGUGUGUGUUAGUGGAAGCGUCUGGAAAGGCGCGCGAUACAGGGUGACAGCCCCGUACACAAAAAUGCACAUGCUGUGAGCUCGAUGAGUAGGGCGGGACACGUGGUAUCCUGUCUGAAUAUGGGGGGACCAUCCUCCAAGGCUAAAUACUCCUGACUGACCGAUAGUGAACCAGUACCGUGAGGGAAAGGCGAAAAGAACCCCGGCGAGGGGAGUGAAAAAGAACCUGAAACCGUGUACGUACAAGCAGUGGGAGCACAGAGCAAUCUGUGUGACUGCGUACCUUUUGUAUAAUGGGUCAGCGACUUAUAUUCUGUAGCAAGGUUAACCGAAUAGGGGAGCCGAAGGGAAACCGAGUCUUAACUGGGCGUUAAGUUGCAGGGUAUAGACCCGAAACCCGGUGAUCUAGCCAUGGGCAGGUUGAAGGUUGGGUAACACUAACUGGAGGACCGAACCGACUAAUGUUGAAAAAUUAGCGGAUGACUUGUGGCUGGGGGUGAAAGGCCAAUCAAACCGGGAGAUAGCUGGUUCUCCCCGAAAGCUAUUUAGGUAGCGCCUCGUGAAUUCAUCUCCGGGGGUAGAGCACUGUUUCGGCAAGGGGGUCAUCCCGACUUACCAACCCGAUGCAAACUGCGAAUACCGGAGAAUGUUAUCACGGGAGACACACGGCGGGUGCUAACGUCCGUCGUGAAGAGGGAAACAACCCAGACCGCCAGCUAAGGUCCCAAAGUCAUGGUUAAGUGGGAAACGAUGUGGGAAGGCCCAGACAGCCAGGAUGUUGGCUUAGAAGCAGCCAUCAUUUAAAGAAAGCGUAAUAGCUCACUGGUCGAGUCGGCCUGCGCGGAAGAUGUAACGGGGCUAAACCAUGCACCGAAGCUGCGGCAGCGACGCUGAUGCGUUGUUGGGUAGGGGAGCGUUCUGUAAGCCUGCGAAGGUGUGCUGUGAGGCAUGCUGGAGGUAUCAGAAGUGCGAAUGCUGACAUAAGUAACGAUAAAGCGGGUGAAAAGCCCGCUCGCCGGAAGACCAAGGGUUCCUGUCCAACGUUAAUCGGGGCAGGGUGAGUCGACCCCUAAGGCGAGGCCGAAAGGCGUAGUCGAUGGGAAACAGGUUAAUAUUCCUGUACUUGGUGUUACUGCGAAGGGGGGACGGAGAAGGCUAUGUUGGCCGGGCGACGGUUGUCCCGGUUUAAGCGUGUAGGCUGGUUUUCCAGGCAAAUCCGGAAAAUCAAGGCUGAGGCGUGAUGACGAGGCACUACGGUGCUGAAGCAACAAAUGCCCUGCUUCCAGGAAAAGCCUCUAAGCAUCAGGUAACAUCAAAUCGUACCCCAAACCGACACAGGUGGUCAGGUAGAGAAUACCAAGGCGCUUGAGAGAACUCGGGUGAAGGAACUAGGCAAAAUGGUGCCGUAACUUCGGGAGAAGGCACGCUGAUAUGUAGGUGAAGUCCCUCGCGGAUGGAGCUGAAAUCAGUCGAAGAUACCAGCUGGCUGCAACUGUUUAUUAAAAACACAGCACUGUGCAAACACGAAAGUGGACGUAUACGGUGUGACGCCUGCCCGGUGCCGGAAGGUUAAUUGAUGGGGUUAGCGCAAGCGAAGCUCUUGAUCGAAGCCCCGGUAAACGGCGGCCGUAACUAUAACGGUCCUAAGGUAGCGAAAUUCCUUGUCGGGUAAGUUCCGACCUGCACGAAUGGCGUAAUGAUGGCCAGGCUGUCUCCACCCGAGACUCAGUGAAAUUGAACUCGCUGUGAAGAUGCAGUGUACCCGCGGCAAGACGGAAAGACCCCGUGAACCUUUACUAUAGCUUGACACUGAACAUUGAGCCUUGAUGUGUAGGAUAGGUGGGAGGCUUUGAAGUGUGGACGCCAGUCUGCAUGGAGCCGACCUUGAAAUACCACCCUUUAAUGUUUGAUGUUCUAACGUGACCCGUAAUCCGGGUUGCGGACAGUGUCUGGUGGGUAGUUUGACUGGGGCGGUCUCUCCUAAAGAGUAACGGAGGAGCACGAAGGUUGGCUAAUCCUGGUCGGACAUCAGGAGGUUAGUGCAAUGGCAUAAGCCAGCUUGACUGCGAGCGUGACGGCGCGAGCAGGUGCGAAAGCAGGUCAUAGUGAUCCGGUGGUUCUGAAUGGAAGGCCAUCGCUCAACGGAUAAAAGGUACUCCGGGGAUAACAGGCUGAUACCGCCCAAGAGUUCAUAUCGACGGCGGUGUUUGGCACCUCGAUGUCGGCUCAUCACAUCCUGGGGCUGAAGUAGGUCCCAAGGGUAUGGCUGUUCGCCAUUUAAAGUGGUACGCGAGCUGGGUUUAGAACGUCGUGAGACAGUUCGGUCCCUAUCUGCCGUGGGCGCUGGAGAAUUGAGGGGGGCUGCUCCUAGUACGAGAGGACCGGAGUGGACGCAUCACUGGUGUUCGGGUUGUCAUGCCAAUGGCACUGCCCGGUAGCUAAAUGCGGAAGAGAUAAGUGCUGAAAGCAUCUAAGCACGAAACUUGCCCCGAGAUGAGUUCUCCCUGACUCCUUGAGAGUCCUGAAGGAACGUUGAAGACGACGACGUUGAUAGGCCGGGUGUGUAAGCGCAGCGAUGCGUUGAGCUAACCGGUACUAAUGAACCGUGAGGCUUAACCU
rnacentral:rRNA from 1 species